AGUUCGUGGAAUAAUCUGUCUGCUUAAUUGCGUCAAACUUUUCAGGCACACUCUCUGUUACUAGGAACUGUUGUUACUGCAUUUUGAACUUCGGUUCGUUUUGCUGGUAGUAAUGGUGACUAUGAGAUGCUGUGUCUUUUGAAACGGACGUGACGCUUACCCUUUCUUGCUCUACAUUAGGUAUAACUGGCUUCGGCUGGAUUUGUAUCAUUUAAAAAUGUGAGUUAAGUAAGGGGACUGUUGGGGAAUACUCAAAGGAAGGUAGGCGCAAUAACAGGUC
rnacentral:rRNA from 1 species